GCAAUCAAAAACAGCACAGAGGUAUUGAUAAGGCCAGAUAUUUCCAUGGCUUAGGUAAUUCACAGAAUGUAAAUUACACAUCUUUAAAAACAAUGAAUGAAAAUGUUGCUCCAUGUUUUCACCAGCAUUUGCUGCUGUCAGUUUGGAUUUUUCAUCAUCCUAAGAGACUUUUAGCUUGACCAUGAUGUGUUCAUUCUGAAGGAUCAGUCUCACCUCUUCCUGAACAAAUACUAAAAUAGUAGCCUUAAGCUUAAGGAAGCUGGUUCAGGAAGCUGUGUUCCGUGAGACAUGAUACUCUGAGAAGAUUAAAAUGGAGGGAAUCUUGGCCUAUGGAUCUUGCAUCUAAUUUCCAGGAUCUCCAGCCUGGCCUUAGUCCAUUGACAUAUCAAUAGGUGUGUAACGUGGCAGCCUCCCACAGCCUCUGGGCCUAGGGGUGGAGAGAGGAUGGCCAUCUCUCCUUCCCCCCAUUCCAGAUUGGGCCUGCCUCCUAGCUGCCGCUGCUGCUUGCUGAGUGUGCCUGCAGCUCCCUGGUGGUUCAGCUGCUGGUCUUCUGUGGAAUGGGUGAGGUGUUUACUGCUGCAGCCUCCCACAGACUCUCAGGGAAGAGAUGGAAAGGAGGAAAAUGAGCAUACUACCAAGCUGAUUGGUCAUGAUGAAUAAGAGCAGCAGUAGCCUAAGCUUUGAUUCAUAUCCAGAUGGUCAGUAUUAUUCUAGCACAGGAUGCAUUACAAGUGACAUCUUUCCAAGCAUGUUAUGAUCAUUUAAAAAAUUACUUUGUAAAAAAUAGGAUAAAGAACAUGUAUUCAAUGAGUGUGGUCUAGAAAUGGAUUUGGAUUUUUUGGAGUUAAAUAAUUAAAUAGAUAUGAAAUAGAAGGAUAAAUUAUUAAAAUAUUCCCAGGCUUAUUCAUAAGCUAUUCUUGUCUUCUGUGAGUUGAGAGAAUUAUUUUAGAUUCUUUCAUAAAGUUCUCUGUUAACUUACAUUGAGCACUGAAAAUUUAAUGCCAGGGACUUUUUUUUUUAACAUUUUAAAGGCAAACUAUAAAGUAUUUUUCCAAUUAAAAUGAACUCUUUGACGGGUCUCUGUAGUUUUCAAGUUCAGGAAGUUAAAUAAGCCUAAGACUUACAAAUGCUUCAUUAGGGAGGAUCAAGGGUUGAUAGCACCUAAUUGGUUCUGAAGGGCCUCUGGAUCUUGUCAUUUAAAUGACAGUGACUUUUGUUAAAGCUUGGUUAGCUGCUCAAUCAUUAAAAAUCAUUUUGAUUUUGAAAUGUUCUUCUUGCAUUAAUUUAGAAGAGUUGGGGCAGAUUGAGAGAACUACUGCAUAGUUAUUAUUGAUCAUUUAGUGUUAUAUGAAUAUAUUUCUCCUUUUGGAGACAGUUGAUUUCUAGAAAAUGCUCCAAGUAUUUUAUUUCAUUGUUGUCUUAUUAGUGGUUGCAUUCAAAGAUGUUUUACAGACUUGAAUUAUUGUGAUUAUCAUCUUGACAAUGUUUAAUUUUCCAUCAUGUGACCAGGAGCCUCUCAGAAAUGCAUUGAAUCUGUGUAACACUCCAAAAUGGCUUUAAAUUUUCUUUAAAGCUCCUGGAUUUCGUGCUUCCUGCCAAGUGUGUGUCCCUGAGGCACUCCGCAUUGUAGUCUCACCUCUUGUCUUCUUCCUGUUCACUGGGCUAGGUCCUCAGAAUUCCACUACCAGGAAAGAUAUCAGAUGCAGUGAGUCGUAAUGGCAUUUGAAAAUGACACCUGAGUAUCAGUCAGGGCAGCUUUGACACUUUGAAUCUCAUCAGAAGAAUGAGAGACUAGCAAUCAGAGAAAUCCUCACUGGUUCAUUUCGAGAGCCUCCUGCCUCUUCCCUCAGAAUCAUUCUACAAUUUCUUUGCAGUGGCAAGUGUGCAGUUCACUUAUGAGUUCUGAAAAAUGAAAUAGUAAUCUUUGAUAACAUGUGAAAUGUAUUUCUUUGAACUUAUAAACUGAUGUUUAACAGCACUUGCUAUUGGUAUUUUGAAAAAUCUCAGGGUCUUUAUUGAAACAUGAAGCUUAAAUGUUUCCAUAGUUUUUCUGCUGAUAAUUUGAUUUUUGACUUUUAUUUCCUAAUUUGAAUCUCAAAUACUUUGAUCCUUUUGGCUUGAUGAAUAAUCUUCUAGAAGAGCUUUUGCGCUAUUUUUGAUUGAAAAAUAUCCAAUAUGCUCUUAGUUAUUUGAUAGGUCUUGGUUUAGUAUAUUUAAAAAACAUAUCUUUACAGU